GAUGAACGCUGGCGGCGUGCCUAAUACAUGCAAGUCGAGCGAACAGACGAGGAGCUUGCUCCUCUGACGUUAGCGGCGGACGGGUGAGUAACACGUGGAUAACCUACCUAUAAGACUGGGAUAACUUCGGGAAACCGGAGCUAAUACCGGAUAAUAUAUUGAACCGCAUGGUUCAAUAGUGAAAGACGGUUUUGCUUUCACUUAUAGAUGGAUCCGCGCCGCAUUAGCUAGUUGGUAAGGUAACGGCUUACCAAGGCAACGAUGCGUAGCCGACCUGAGAGGGUGAUCGGCCACACUGGAACUGAGCCCCGGUCCAGACUCCUACGGGAGGCAGAAGUAGGGAAUCUUCCGCAAUGGGCGAAAGCCUGACGGAGCAACGCCGCGUGAGUGAUGAAGGUCUUCGGAUCGUAAAACUCUGUUAUUAGGGAAGAACAAAUGUGUAAGUAACUAUGCACGUCUUGACGGUACCUAAUCAGAAAGCCACGGCUAACUACGUG
rnacentral:rRNA from 1 species